rnacentral:rRNA from 1 species
AGGAUCAUUACCGAAUUGUUGUCGGUUCUUCUCGCGCGCUGCGCAUCUAGGUACGUCACCGGUGGCUGCAUUCCCGCCACCGAUGCAGUCUUAUGCUUUUAGUGCUGCCUGAACACCGUGACCCAGGUUGGGGGGAAGCCCUCAAUGUCUUCUCUGCCAGCCCCAUCCCCACUUUGGGGGGAUCCGUCCACCGCCGGAAUCCCUAUGUGUGUGAGUUCCGGUGGGAUCUUGGACAUCCAAGUUGGUUGCAGAUCCCGGUGGGGAGGGAAGUUGCAUUGGAUUGCCGGAGCGCAACAUGUUACGGCAUGCAGUUGAGGCCGCCCCGCCCCCUUGCACGAUAUCCGCAACCUCUUGCAAAAGGCUAGCGGUGUUUGUGCUUGGAGGGCGUGGUAGUGUCAACUCAUCCCAUGUGCGGCCCCGUAAGCAAAUGUUUGCUCUUUCUUAACCGGCUGGCGGGGGCGAGACACUGCUCAUCCCUCCUUUUCUUUGCUGAGAGAGAUGUUGUGGGGAGGGCACACCUCUGACUGGGUCAGGCCGACACGACCCAAACCAUCCGUGUAUCUUUCCUGUUGCUUUGGAGGAUGCGACUCGUCGCCCCCGCCGAAGGCUUCAACGAAAACCAUUCUGCAUCAUCAUGCCCACGAGUCUGAACUUCGAUCUAUUAAGAUUAAAACUUUCAACAACGGAUCUCUUGGUUCUCGCAUCGAUGAAGAACGCAGCGAAAUGCGAUAAGUAGUGUGAAUUGCAGAAUUCCGUGAAUCAUCGAAUCUUUGAACGCACAUUGCGCCUCUUGGUAUUCCUAGAGGCAUGCCUGUUCGAGCGUCAUUAAAAGCCAUCAAGUGAGCUUGCCUCGCUUGGUUCUGGGGGAUGGGGUCGCCCUUUGGGGAGGCGCCGCCCUCGAAAUUCAACGGCGGACAGCCCACCAGUUGGAACUUGCAGGCGUAGUAACUUAUUCUUUCGUCAGCGGCCACGGAGGGACCGUCCGGCCGGUCAAAACCCCCAAUUCUUCAAUGGUUGACCUCGGAUCAGGUAGGGAUACCCGCUGAACUUAAGCAUAUCAAUAAGCGGAGGAAAAGAAACCAACAGGGAUUGCCUCAGUAACUGCGAGUGAAGCGGCAAGAGCUCAAAUUUGAAAUCUGGCGUCCUCCGGCGUCCGAGUUGUAAUUUGGAGGGAUAUCUUCGGGGUCGGCGCCGUCCCAAGUUCUUUGGAACAGGACAUCGUAGAGGGUGAGAAUCCCGUGCCUGGACGGCUGCCCGGUCCCAUGUGAAGUGUCUCCGACGAGUCGAGUUGUUUGGGAAUGCAGCUCAAAAUGGGUGGUAAAUUUCAUCUAAAGCUAAAUAUUGGCGAGAGACCGAUAGCGAACAAGUAGAGUGAUCGAAAGAUGAAAAGCACUUUGAAAAGAGAGUUAAAAAGUACGUGAAAUUGUUGAAAGGGAAGCGCAUGCGACCAGACUCAACCUUUGGUGAUCAUCCGGGGUUCUCCCCUGUGCACUUGCCAUCGGUUGGGCCAGCAUCGGUUCCGGCGGCGGGACAAAAGCGAUGGGAAUGUGGCUCCCCUCGGGGAGUGUUAUAGCCCUCCGCGCAAUGCCGCCUGCCG